AUGCAUUUCCAAAUAGGUGUUUAAAUUUUCACAUUUUGUGAACUGCGUGAGAUUCCCAUGAAUUGUCUUUUAUCAGUCGAAGUUGCGCUCUUUAUAUGAAAACCAAAGAAAAAAAGAAAAAAAGAGAGAGAAUACGGAGAAAGCUAAUCCUCUCCUUUUUUUUUUCUCUCUUUAAAAAAUGAAUUUUUGCUAAAACAGGUAUGUGAUCAAGUGAUUGUGAUGUGGUUUUCAUCAUCUUUGAAUGAUAUGUUGUGCAAUUAUCAAUAGCUAUCAGCUAAGUUUUUUUUGCUCUUUCAUUGGGAGAGUUUGGAGAGCGAGAAGAGGACCCCAUCAUCAUCUAGCAUGGGGCAUUUUGGAUUGACCUAAGGUGGCAACCAUCAGAAACCAUGUUCCUAGUGGAUUAGUGGUUCAUUUUAUAUCAGAUUGAAUGCUUCUUCUUGAAAGUGUUAUGCAGCUUGGUAUGCUCAUGUUCCUGGGUUGAAAGUUCUGACUCCAUACUCAUCAGAAGACGCUCGAGGCCUUUGAAAAGCUACUAUUAGAGAUCCUGAUCCUGUAGUUUUUCUUGAAAAUGAGUUGUUGAUGCUCCAAAUAUGGAGAGUCAUUCCCUAUUUCAAUGGAAGUUCUUGAUUCCAGUUUCUGCCUUCCAAUAGGAAAAGCUAAGAUAGAACAAGAAGGAAAAGAUGUGACCAUUACAGCUUUCUCAAAGAUGGUGGGUUAUGCCCUCCAAGUGCGUGUGCUCUUUCUUUUAAGCUAUGGUGCCAAUGACUAGUAUGUGAUCAAUAGGUUUAUUCACAAGUUGCUUGUGUAUGCUGCACUCUUUUUGGAAUUUGGUUGGCGCUUAUCCUAGUUGAACUAUAGUAAGCUUUAGGCAGGGAAAAACUAGGUUAUUUACUAAGGGUUGCUUCCCAACCUGACACUUAAGAGCAAAGGCCUGACCCAAGCUUGGCAUGGGCGUAGCACAAGCCGGCCAAAGCAUUUUCUCUUCAGAUCUAGGAGCUAGAUGAUGAAGUCUUAAUGGAGAAUCGGAGUUAGAAAGUGCUUGGAGUCACCAUGUCAGAGUAAGGUUGUAAUGGUUAUUCUCAAAGUUGUGUUCCGGCGAACCUGCUAGCAAUUCUGGAUGGUUUUGGGUCUGAUCUUAUAACUUGCUCUAUUUGAUCAUCAUCCUCUGCUCCUAUUAUACUUACAACUGGCGAUCUGUUGUAUUUUGAAACUUGUUUGUUUAGAAAUGUGA